rnacentral:lncRNA from 13 species
UCUAUCUAUCUAUAUCAUCUAUCUAUGUAUCUAUGUAUCUAUCUACCUACCUAUAUAUCUAUCUAUCCAUCCAUGCUUCCAUCCAUCCACCUAUCUAUCCAUCCACCCACCCAUCUAUGUAUGUAUGUAUGUAUGUAUCUAUCUAUCAUCUAUGUGUCUAUCUAUCUAUCUAUGUGUCUAUCUAUCUAUGUGUCAUCUAUCUAUCUAUGUGUCUAUCUAUCUAUGUGUCUAUCUAUG